rnacentral:sRNA from 1 species
GCCGGGCAUGGUGGUGCACGCCUGUAAUCCCAGAGGCUUGGGAGGCUGGGGCAGGAGGAUUGCAAGUUUGAGGCCAGCCUCAGCAACUUGGUGAGGCCCUAAGCAAUUGAGAGAGACCUUU